UACGUAGGGGGCAAGCGUUGUCCGGAUUCAUUGGGCGUAAAGCGCGUGUAGGCGGCCAGGCAGGUCGGUUGUGAAAACUCGAGGCUCAACCUCGAGACGCCGAUGGAAACCAUCUGACUAGAGUCCGGAAGAGGAGAGUGGAAUUCCUGGUGUAGCGGUGAAAUGCGCAGAUAUCAGGAAGAACACCCGUGGCUAAGGCGGCUCUCUAGUACGUGACUGACGCUGAGACGCGAAAGCGUGGGGAGCGAACAGG
rnacentral:rRNA from 1 species